GAGACCCACCCUGCUCUUACAAAAACAGUCCCUUUUGGAUAUUUGCCCUGGACCUGUGACAUUCUGGACUGGUUCUGUUCUCAGUUGUGGCUGAAUGUAACAUGUACAAUAAAUCACCUCUUCUGCUAAGAAAGAAGAGG